rnacentral:rRNA from 1 species
UAUGGCUCAGGAUGAACGCUAGCUACAGGCUUAACACAUGCAAGUCGAGGGGCAGCAUGUUGGUUGCUUGCAACCAAUGAUGGCGACCGGCGCACGGGUGAGUAACGCGUAUCCAACCUACCCUUGUCCAUCGGAUAACCCGUCGAAAGGCGGCCUAACACGAUAUGCGGUUCACAGCAGGCAUCUAACGUGAACGAAAUGUGAAGGAGAAGGAUGGGGAGUGCGUCUGAUUAG